rnacentral:rRNA from 1 species
UACGAAGGGGGCUAGCGUUGUUCGGAAUCACUGGGCGUAAAGCGCCCGUAGGCGGCCUUUUAAGUCAGGGGUGAAAGCCUGAGGCUCAACCUCAGAACUGCCCUUGAUACUGGGAGUCUUGAGUAUGGUAGAGGUUGGUGGAACAGCAAGUGUAGAGGUGAAAUUCGUAGAUAUUUGCUAGAACACCAGUGGCGAAGGCGGCCAACUGGACCAUAACUGACGCUGAGGUGCGAAAGUGUGGGGAGCAAACGGG